AUCUUCUGCAGUACCCAGCGUCAGCCACAAGAGGCACUCCCAGCACAGGUUUUUGUGCCCUCUACCAUUCCUCCAACAUGUGUCCUCGAGUACCCUACGUGAACCCCAUUUAAUGUAAGGUGUGUGCACACUAGUAUGUGCCCACAGAGCGAGACUGACAGCUUAGUGAGCGUGACAAGGAUGAGGUGUGAGAAAGCUGCAACCUGCGGAGGCUCCCCUCGACCCGGCGCCAUGUGAAAGCCUUCUUGACCUGCUUUCAACCUCCACUGCUCUGCCACCAGCCAACAGACAUUCACGCGCCCUCAGCUUCUCCAUUUGUACCGACAUCCCCAGAAAAAGAGGACUCUGGAUAUUAUUUCAAGAACAAUGUAUGCCACAAAUACAGGACAUCAGCAAAGGGCUUAAGAUUUAAGAUUCACCUCUAAGAUUCAAUCCCUUGUAGUAUCAACAUAUUUGUCAUGGUACACUACACACUGUUUA
ensembl:lncRNA